rnacentral:rRNA from 1 species
GAUGAACGCUGGCAGCGUGCCUAAUACAUGCAAGUCGAGCGAACAGAUAAGGAGCUUGCUCCUUUGACGUUAGCGGCGGACGGGUGAGUAACACGUGGGUAACCUACCUAUAAGACUGGGAUAACUUCGGGAAACCGGAGCUAAUACCGGAUAACAUUUGGAACCGCAUGGUUCUAAAGUGAAAGAUGGUUUUGCUAUCACUUAUAGAUGGACCCGCGCCGUAUUAGCUAGUUGGUAAGGUAACGGCUUACCAAGGCGACGAUACGUAGCCGACCUGAGAGGGUGAUCGGCCACACUGGAACUGAGACACGGUCCAGACUCCUACGGGAGGCAGCAGUAGGGAAUCUUCCGCAGUGGGCGAAAGCCUGACGGAGCAACGCCGCGUGAGUGAUGAAGGGUUUCGGCUCGUAAAACUCUGUUAUUAGGGAAGAACAAACGUGUAAGUAACUGUGCACGUCUGGACGGUACCUAAUCAGAAAGCCACGGCUAACUACGU